UACGUAGGGGGCAAGCGUUGUCCGGAAUCAUUGGGCGUAAAGCGCGCGUAGGCGGCCCGGUAAGUCCGCUGUGAAAGUCAAAGGCUCAACCUUUGAAUGCCGGUGGAUACUGUCGGGCUAGAGUACGGAAGAGGCGAGUGGAAUUCCUGGUGUAGCGGUGGAAUGCGCAGAUAUCAGGAGGAACACCAAUAGCGAAGGCAGCUCGCUGGGACGUUACUGACGCUAAGGCGCGAAAGCGUGGGGAGCGAACAGGAUUAGAAACCCCCGUAGUCC
rnacentral:rRNA from 1 species